rnacentral:lncRNA from 1 species
UUGCAUUCCAUGCUUUAUAUUUAUCAAAAUGAUUAUGACAUGGCUCAUUUCAGUCGUCAUGUGUGGUUGCUAGGUUUGGUUCCCUGAUGCGCACCGGUGGUGCACGAUAGAGUGUGCACAGGGGAUUCUUCUUCCACUCUGAUGCCUCCCGCCCUGCCCCUCCGGUGGCAUCAGUUCCUCUUUCAGUUCUGCAUCUCUGCUGGUAAGCCCCUGAUUCCCUCUCUGCUAUCUAUGUUGACCGGAAAACAUCAAAUGUGGACAAGUGGCACUAGAGUCUGUUCUGUCUAGAUUCUUAUGUUUUUUGGAAACGGACUAAACUAAGCUGCAGUUUUACAUGUAAAUAUUUGAAGAAAAACAUAUUAUGUCUCUUAUGUGAUCUCAGAGCACUUUUACCUUCAUUUUGAAAAUGCAUUUGUCUUUAUAUGUGUUGUAUAAAAGGAAUACAUGAAGGCACAAGCAAUCAAAAAUGUAUGGAAAUGUCUCUUAAAUUGCAAGCCUAAUGCUAGGAAAAAUGGACUUAUAUCAUUUUUUUCAACUUCUCCAGGUUGGUCGGCCGGUGCGGCGCAAAUCUGGUUCGACGAGGUCGUUGACGACCUGCUGCGGGAGUGGGACAAUGGGAUCAGCUCCGGGAGGUCCGGGGCACGCUGCUGCCGCUCGUGUAGCAGAAGUCUAACUGCUCCGAGGUGAUGAUUUCUCUGGUUAUUACUCACUCGGUGAUGUUCUGAACCACAAUGAUGUUGUUGCCUCGACAAUGAGUUCCUCAACUUACGUGACUGAUGAGCUGGGGCGUGAAGAUCAUGGCUCUUAUGAUUUGUAUACAGACCUUACUACUGUAUUGUACUGGGGUAGAAUGCCUCUAUGAAGGUGUUUUGACCCUCUAUGAAUGCUUAUUUUUAUGUUGUACAUUAUUUGUAGUCGGAUUGUGCCUGUCCAAAAUUGCUGGUAUGUGGUUACUGUAAGAUAUAUUACGUGUUAAUCGUUAGAUUCAAUAUGAUGCUAAUUCCCCUGUGCGUGAC